CGCCCGCCGCGCGCGGCGGGCCUACGGGAGGCAGCAGUGAGGAAUAUUGGUCAAUGGGCGGAAGCCUGAACCAGCCAAGUAGCGUGCAGGAUGACGGCCCUAUGGGUUGUAAACUGCUUUUAUACAGGAAUAAAGUUAGCCACGUGUGGUUAUUUGUAGGUACUGUAUGAAUAAGGACCGGCUAAUUCCGUGCCAGCAGCCGCGGUAAUA
rnacentral:rRNA from 1 species